rnacentral:lncRNA from 1 species
UCAAGAAUAAGAAGGGAGGAAUUGAAUUAACAAAUCGCAUAGAAGAUUAAUGGCUCAUAUAUUGAAUUAACUUCAAAGAUUCUCUCAAAUCUAUAUACAGAAGACAAAAUAGUUUGCUCAUAGCGUAUAUCAAGCUCUAUCUACAUAAACUAUAGGCUUCGUACUAACGAAAUCAAGGCAAUCUUCUCUCUAUUUAGCUUCCUAAAUUAUGAAUCCUUGCUUAAAAGAACCCAUCUUGAUCAAGUGAAGGAAGCACAGAAAUCCAAACCCAUGCUCUUGAUCCAUAGCUUCUGUUUGAAAAUGAAAUCAGAGGAAAUCAAACGAAAAUAGAAACACAGGUUACAGAUCUAUCGUGUAUGCUUGUCGAAGAAGAAGGAGAUGACAAAGAAGAUGAAGGAGAAUAAAAAUUUGAACCUCCGUACGAAGAUUGAAUUGCUUGUGUAUGGUUUUCCGUCGCCAACACCCAUGCUAUUAGAGAUUGAAUUUGUUGAAGAAGAACGAAGAAGAUUAAAAAAGGAAGGAGAUGUUUUACAUUUUACGACGAACAAAGGAAGGGGAUUUCAUGACAAAAAAUUAAGGAAGGGGAUUUCUUUUAAUGAAAGGGAUAAGAUUUGACCAGAUGCAUUUUUUAUUAGCU